rnacentral:rRNA from 1 species
UACGGGAGGCAGCAGUGGGGAAUAUUGCACAAUGGGCGCAAGCCUGAUGCAGCCAUGCCGCGUGUAUGAAGAAGGCCUUCGGGUUGUAAAGUACUUUCAGUCGUGAGGAAGGUGUUAAGGUUAAUAACCUUAGCAAUUGACGUUAGCGACAGAAGAAGCACCGGCUAACUCCGUGCCAGCAGCCGCGGUAAUACGGAGGGUGCGAGCGUUAAUCGGAAUUACUGGGCGUAAAGGGCACGCAGGCGGUUAAUUAAGUUGGAUGUGAAAUCCCCGGGCUUAACCUGGGAAUGGCAUUCAAGACUGGUUAGCUAGAGUCUUGUAGAGGGGGUAGAAUUCCAUGUGUAGCGGUGAAAUGCGUAGAGAUGUGGAGGAAUACCGGUGGCGAAGGCGGCCCCUGGACAAAGACUGACGCUCAUGUGCGAAAGCGUGAGGAGCAAACAGGGAUUAGAUA